UACCCAAUCCCGACUCGGGGAGGUAGUGACAAUAAAUACUGAUACAGGGCUCUUUUGGGUCUUGUAAUUGGAAUGAGUACAAUUUAAAUCCCUUAACGAGGAACAAUUGGAGGGCAAGUCUGGUGCCAGCAGCCGCGGUAAUUCCAGCUCCAAUAGCGUAUAUUAAAGUUGUUGUGGUUAAAAAGCUCGUAGUUGAACCUUGGGCCUGGCUGGCCGGUCCGCCUCACCGCGUGUACUGGUCCGGCCGGGCCUUUCCCUCUGUGGAACCCCAUGCCCUUCACUGGGUGUGGCGGGGAAACAGGACUUUUACUUUGAAAAAAUUAGAGUGCUCCAGGCAGGCCUAUGCUCGAAUACAUUAGCAUGGAAUAAUAAAAUAGGACGUGUGGUUCUAUUUUGUUGGUUUCUAGGACCGCCGUAAUGAUUAAUAGGGACAGUCGGGGGCAUCAGUAUUCAAUUGUCAGAGGUGAAAUUCUUGGAUUUAUUGAAGACUAACUACUGCGAAAGCAUUUGCCAAGGAUGUUUUCAUUAAUCAGGAACGAAAGUUAGAGGAUCGAAGACGAUCAGAUACCGUCGUAGUCUUAACCAUAAACUAUGCCGACUAGGGAUCGGACGAUGUUAUUAUUUGACUCGUUCGGCACCUUACGAGAAAUCAUAGUGCUUGGGCUCCAG
rnacentral:rRNA from 1 species